rnacentral:lncRNA from 1 species
AAAGGCAGUGAUGGUGUCUGGACCACCAAGAUGUAACAAUAGAAAUGAGGCCCAAAAUGCCUGAAGUGCUCCAUCUACUUCAGUUGCAUGAGCGCACAAAUUACCUUGGUUGUGAGAGAUGAGCCCGAUUGCAAAUGCAGCUACCCGGUCAGCCAUCAAAUAGGCCAGCCAUAAGAGGAAAAUGAUGUGAUCAUUCGCCGUUUUCUUUCUAAUGGGUGAAAAUAGAAUGAGAAAGACCUGAAGCAAGAGGCUUAGCAGGACAAAGCUUCGAAUGUUCCAUUUGUUCCACAAAUCAGAAAUAGAGCUAAACGCC